AGCGUACACGGUGGAUGCCCUGGCAGUCAGAGGCGAUGAAGGACGUGCUAAUCUGCGAUAAGCGUCGGUAAGGUGAUAUGAACCGUUAUAACCGGCGAUUUCCGAAUGGGGAAACCCAGUGUGAUUCGUCACACUAUCAUUAACUGAAUCCAUAGGUUAAUGAGGCGAACCGGGGGAACUGAAACAUCUAAGUACCCCGAGGAAAAGAAAUCAACCGAGAUUCCCCCAGUAGCGGCGAGCGAACGGGGAGCAGCCCAGAGCCUGAAUCAGUGUGUGUGUUAGUGGAAGCGUCUGGAAAGGCGCGCGAUACAGGGUGACAGCCCCGUACACAAAAAUGCACAUGCUGUGAGCUCGAUGAGUAGGGCGGGACACGUGGUAUCCUGUCUGAAUAUGGGGGGACCAUCCUCCAAGGCUAAAUACUCCUGACUGACCGAUAGUGAACCAGUACCGUGAGGGAAAGGCGAAAAGAACCCCGGCGAGGGGAGUGAAAAAGAACCUGAAACCGUGUACGUACAAGCAGUGGGAGCACGCUUAGGCGUGUGACUGCGUACCUUUUGUAUAAUGGGUCAGCGACUUAUAUUCUGUAGCAAGGUUAACCGAAUAGGGGAGCCGAAGGGAAACCGAGUCUUAACUGGGCGUUAAGUUGCAGGGUAUAGACCCGAAACCCGGUGAUCUAGCCAUGGGCAGGUUGAAGGUUGGGUAACACUAACUGGAGGACCGAACCGACUAAUGUUGAAAAAUUAGCGGAUGACUUGUGGCUGGGGGUGAAAGGCCAAUCAAACCGGGAGAUAGCUGGUUCUCCCCGAAAGCUAUUUAGGUAGCGCCUCGUGAAUUCAUCUCCGGGGGUAGAGCACUGUUUCGGCAAGGGGGUCAUCCCGACUUACCAACCCGAUGCAAACUGCGAAUACCGGAGAAUGUUAUCACGGGAGACACACGGCGGGUGCUAACGUCCGUCGUGAAGAGGGAAACAACCCAGACCGCCAGCUAAGGUCCCAAAGUCAUGGUUAAGUGGGAAACGAUGUGGGAAGGCCCAGACAGCCAGGAUGUUGGCUUAGAAGCAGCCAUCAUUUAAAGAAAGCGUAAUAGCUCACUGGUCGAGUCGGCCUGCGCGGAAGAUGUAACGGGGCUAAACCAUGCACCGAAGCUGCGGCAGCGACGCUGAUGCGUUGUUGGGUAGGGGAGCGUUCUGUAAGCCUGCGAAGGUGUGCUGUGAGGCAUGCUGGAGGUAUCAGAAGUGCGAAUGCUGACAUAAGUAACGAUAAAGCGGGUGAAAAGCCCGCUCGCCGGAAGACCAAGGGUUCCUGUCCAACGUUAAUCGGGGCAGGGUGAGUCGACCCCUAAGGCGAGGCCGAAAGGCGUAGUCGAUGGGAAACAGGUUAAUAUUCCUGUACUUGGUGUUACUGCGAAGGGGGGACGGAGAAGGCUAUGUUGGCCGGGCGACGGUUGUCCCGGUUUAAGCGUGUAGGCUGGUUUUCCAGGCAAAUCCGGAAAAUCAAGGCUGAGGCGUGAUGACGAGGCACUACGGUGCUGAAGCAACAAAUGCCCUGCUUCCAGGAAAAGCCUCUAAGCAUCAGGUAACAUCAAAUCGUACCCCAAACCGACACAGGUGGUCAGGUAGAGAAUACCAAGGCGCUUGAGAGAACUCGGGUGAAGGAACUAGGCAAAAUGGUGCCGUAACUUCGGGAGAAGGCACGCUGAUAUGUAGGUGAAGCGACUUGCUCGUGGAGCUGAAAUCAGUCGAAGAUACCAGCUGGCUGCAACUGUUUAUUAAAAACACAGCACUGUGCAAACACGAAAGUGGACGUAUACGGUGUGACGCCUGCCCGGUGCCGGAAGGUUAAUUGAUGGGGUUAGCGCAAGCGAAGCUCUUGAUCGAAGCCCCGGUAAACGGCGGCCGUAACUAUAACGGUCCUAAGGUAGCGAAAUUCCUUGUCGGGUAAGUUCCGACCUGCACGAAUGGCGUAAUGAUGGCCAGGCUGUCUCCACCCGAGACUCAGUGAAAUUGAACUCGCUGUGAAGAUGCAGUGUACCCGCGGCAAGACGGAAAGACCCCGUGAACCUUUACUAUAGCUUGACACUGAACAUUGAGCCUUGAUGUGUAGGAUAGGUGGGAGGCUUUGAAGUGUGGACGCCAGUCUGCAUGGAGCCGACCUUGAAAUACCACCCUUUAAUGUUUGAUGUUCUAACGUGGACCCGUAAUCCGGGUUGCGGACAGUGUCUGGUGGGUAGUUUGACUGGGGCGGUCUCCUCCUAAAGAGUAACGGAGGAGCACGAAGGUUGGCUAAUCCUGGUCGGACAUCAGGAGGUUAGUGCAAUGGCAUAAGCCAGCUUGACUGCGAGCGUGACGGCGCGAGCAGGUGCGAAAGCAGGUCAUAGUGAUCCGGUGGUUCUGAAUGGAAGGGCCAUCGCUCAACGGAUAAAAGGUACUCCGGGGAUAACAGGCUGAUACCGCCCAAGAGUUCAUAUCGACGGCGGUGUUUGGCACCUCGAUGUCGGCUCAUCACAUCCUGGGGCUGAAGUAGGUCCCAAGGGUAUGGCUGUUCGCCAUUUAAAGUGGUACGCGAGCUGGGUUUAGAACGUCGUGAGACAGUUCGGUCCCUAUCUGCCGUGGGCGCUGGAGAACUGAGGGGGGCUGCUCCUAGUACGAGAGGACCGGAGUGGACGCAUCACUGGUGUUCGGGUUGUCAUGCCAAUGGCACUGCCCGGUAGCUAAAUGCGGAAGAGAUAAGUGCUGAAAGCAUCUAAGCACGAAACUUGCCCCGAGAUGAGUUCUCCCUGACUCCUUGA
rnacentral:rRNA from 1 species